rnacentral:tRNA from 1 species
GGAUGUGUAACCGAGAGGCUUCAGGUACGCGACUGUCUAUCGUGGUACGCGGGUUCGAAUCCCGUCACAUCCGCCA